rnacentral:rRNA from 1 species
UCGCCUGUUUAACAAAAACAUCUCUUCUUGUUAGUUUUUGAAGUAUGGCCUGCCCACUGACGUUUAGAAGUUAAAGGGCCGCGGUAUUUUGACCGUGCAAAGGUAGCAUAAUCAUUAGUUCUUUAAUUGUGAUCUGGUAUGAAUGGCUUGACGAGACAUUAACUGUCUUAGAGGUAAUUUUUAUUGAAUUUGGAGUUUUAGUUAAAAUUCUUAAAUGUUUUUAUGGGACGAGAAGACCCUAUAGAGUUUAACAGUUCUCUUGCUUUUAUACUGUUUGUUUGUUUCGUUAAGUGGGAAACUGUUUUGUUGGGGUGAUGGGAGGAAUAUUAUUAACUCCUCUUUGUAUUUGUAUAUUUAUGUAUAUAUUUUCUUGAUCCAUUUAUUUUGAUUAUAAGAUUAAAUUACCUUAGGGAUAACAGCGUUAUCCUCCUUGAGAGUUCUUAUUGGCGGGAGGGAUUGCGACCUCGAUGUUGGAUUAAGGUGAAUUUUCGGUGCAGGAGCUGAAAUUGAUUAGGUCUGUUCGACCUUUAAAAUCUUACGUGAUCUGAGUUCAGAACCGGA